UACGUAGGCAGCGAGCGUUGUUCGGAGUUACUGGGCGUAAAGGGUGUGUAGGCGGUUGUUUAAGUUUGGUGUGAAAUCUCCCGGCUCAACUGGGAGGGUGCGCCGAAUACUGAAUGACUUCGAGUACGGGAGAGGUGAGUGGAAUUCCUGGUGUAGCGGUGAAAUGCGUAGAUAUCAGGAGGAACACCGGUGGUGUAGACGGCUCACUGGACCGUAACUGACGCUGAGGCGCGAAAGCUAGGGGAGCAAACGGG
rnacentral:rRNA from 1 species